UACGUAGGGCGCAAGCGUUGUCCGGAAUUAUUGGGCGUAAAGAGCUCGUAGGCGGUUUGUCGCGUCUGCUGUGAAAUCCCGAGGCUCAACCUCGGGCUUGCAGUGGGUACGGGCAGACUAGAGUGCGGUAGGGGAGACUGGAAUUCCUGGUGUAGCGGUGGAAUGCGCAGAUAUCAGGAGGAACACCGGUGGCGAAGGCGGGUCUCUGGGCCGAC
rnacentral:rRNA from 1 species